GGCCCACAGCUCAGUGGGAGAGCUUCUGCCUUGCAAGCAGAAGAUUCCCACGUUCAAUCUCUGGCAUCUCCAGGUGGGGCU